rnacentral:RNase_P_RNA from 1 species
GGGGCGGGCUGAGCGGACCGCGGGGGGAGAGAAAACCCCUCGAGGAAAGUCCGGACACCACAGGGCAGGGCGGUGGGUAACGCCCACCCGGGGAAACCCGCGGGAAAGUGCCACAGAAAUGACACGGCCGAUGGCGCGACUGCAGCUGCGUCGCGCACAGGCAAAGGUGAAAUGGUGCGGUAAGAGCGCACCGGCGUCGCGGUGACGCGGCG